GGAAUCUCCUGAUGUGAGCUGUUUGAGAGGUUGUCUCUGUCUCAAUAAAAGUUCACUGAUUCCCCCAUCUGCAGCAGGUGUCCGGUUGUCUUCAUUCUCCGCCAGCCUGGAUCCGCUCCAGGGCAACUGGAACGGAGGGAGGAAAUCGGCCGUGGUCUGAGUGAACGGAGUUUGGACAAAAGCUGUGUGCACACAAAAACAAGGAUUUCUGGGCGGAUGUGUGAAGAAACGGUGUUUAUGGGUUAGGAGUUGGGGAUGCUAUUACACUGUAUUUACAGGAAAUGUUUUAUAGCACCUAUGGAAUGAGGAUGCCUGACUACGGUCAAUGUGCUGCUAAUGUUUGCUUUGCUUUGGUGAGAGGGGUGCAGUAGAAAACAGACAAGUGACAUGAAAACAAGUAAUAAUAACAAAUAACAAAUUUGGGGACAGUUUGACCUAGAGCCCACUAACUGGCCAUUAGGGGCUCUCUCGCUCUCGCUCUCUCUCUCUCUCUCUCUCUCUCUCUCUCUCUCUCUCUCUCUCUCUCUCUCUCUCUCAGGUUGUUGCUCUUUAACUCCUAGAACACGCCCUUGGCGAGGUGGGGGGAACUGGACCACCUUUCUGUGCCCCAUCAUCCUCUAUUAGACGACAUCCAAGCUAAGUAAACAUGUCUUGGCCCUUUCCCCCUGAAAUGACAGGCAGGCAAAGAUGUUGCGUCUUUGUUUGCUUCCUGGCCCUGGGUCUCAUUCCCAUUGGCAUAAUCCUGAUCUGUGAAGGGCCCCCGACACUUCUGACACCUUCAAGUUCAAAAGCUUCGCCCCCUUCUGACAGUCCCAAUCUGACAAAUGUAGCCCCUAGGGUCUUGCCCACCACUUCCUCUCCAGUUUUGCCCACGCCCGAUCCAUUUAGAAAGAAACGAGACACGGUUACCUCCUCGCCAACGGAUGAUGAAAACUCUGAUCGUGAGGGUGACGAACAUUAUCGUCUUUCUCUUGUUUAAAUGCUUCUAGAAUGGUUGUUUCUCUGUGGUGUUUUGUAUUAGGCUUGUUAUUAAUUGUUUCCCUCACCCACUUCCUCUUGAAGGAUAUAUCUGGUUGAACUGUGUCUGGUCGGGUUGUGAGGGUUAAGCGAUGUUCUCAGGGUCUCCGGACUUAAGCCUGAGCGAAUGUGUACUCCCACCAGUGGAUAUAAAUUGUUUUAUUCCACACCCCUUCCUCACUUUUUAACAUAUUCACUUUUGAAUGUCCUUAGCAGUUACCGUUCUGAGUUUAUUUUACGGUUGAUUUAUUCUUUCACAUUUUCACGUUUAUAUCUCUCAUUAUUAUAGUAUACUCUGUACUCUCCACAUUUUUAUCAUUACUUAUGCUUUUUGGUUGCUGAGUUACAGGAACUGUUAAUUUUGUGUCUCUACCCUGGUUGCACUAACUCGUUGUAUCCGUGUGUGCAGGACAGCUGUUACUGCUUUCAUCGGGAACCGAGACUGCUUGCAGCCGACCCCUGGGCAGGGUGGUGCCUGGACUCUUUUCUCCUCAUCUGCAAUGACAGAUAAAGACAAAUGAUAAGACCCGAGGAGUUUUUCGAGCCAGGCUUCGACACGUCUCUGUGUUCCUUUGAAUGUUACUUAUUUUUGUGUGUUGACCCAUUUAAGAUGGGUCAAAAGGGGGAUUUGAAGAAAAUAUAAUUUGAUC
ensembl:lncRNA